UUCACUUUCUCUCUGCAUGCUUUCCUUCACGUCUCUGCAUGUUUAAUUUCCUCCAUUUGUUGAUCCUUCUUCGAGCUUGGAUUCUUGAUUUCAACAUUCACCAAAUCUAUGACAUUAGAUUUCAACAUUGGGGCUGAGGUAGAAUGAAGUUGUGAAGGGCUAGCACUAUGAAUUUUUUUCAAGAGCUUAUUGAUAAGUUGAAGGCGACCUCAAAAGUAUUAUAUCAUUAUCUUUUGUAUUGAUUAUUGAGAGUAACAAUCUUUGAAAAAUUAGUUAAUUAAUUGUUUUUGGUAGUAAAUAAUAGUGUGAGUUUUGUGUGUUACUUUCAGGGUUGCAGAUACGUGAUUUGUGCACCAUUACCUUAAUAUUACCUUUUUUAUUGUUGUUGAUGUUGUAUUAGUCAUCAUAUUAAGUUAUGAGAGUUUUUAUCUUCUCAAAAAGAAAAAAGUUACCACAGUUUUGAGAUAUUCAAGAAACAAAUUUGAGUUUUGUUUUA